ACUACAAGGACUGCCUGAACAAAGUGGUUUCAGACACCCAGUCUGGGGAGGAGAGACGGGUUUCACCAUUUUUCUCCCCAUCACCAACAAGAAACUCUGUUCUAUUGAUUAUCUCUUCACUCACCUGAAUCUACAAAUUCUACUUAUUCCUUCCUGACUGUCGAAGUAAAAAUUGCACCCACAAAGUUAAACAGGAUCCUCUUCUCAUAUCUCAAGAGAUUUGGAUGGCUGAAGUAAAGUGACAUCAGGAAUUCAGCAUUCUGAGG